UACGAAGGGUGCAAACGUUGCUCGGAAUUAUUGGGCGUAAAGCGCACGUAGGCGGCAUUGCAAGUCCCAUGUGAAAGCCCACGGCUUAACCGUGGAAGUGCAUGGGAAACUGCAGUGCUUGAGUACUUAAGAGGAUCGCGGAAUUCCCGGUGUAGAGGUGAAAUUCGUAGAUAUCGGGAGGAACACCAGUGGCGAAGGCGAGUCCCUGGACAACACCUGACACUGAGGCACGAAAGCUAGGGGAGCAAACAGG
rnacentral:rRNA from 1 species